UCGGUAAUUCCAGCUCCAAUAGCGUAUAUUAAAGUUGUUGCAGUUAAAAAGCUCGUAGUUGAAUUUCUGAUCGGGUCUGGACGAGCUCAUGCGAGUCCAGAUUUAGAUCAUCCUCCUGGGAACCAUUAUCGUAUCGCAAGGUGCGUUUUGGGAAACGGGAAUUUUACCUUGAAAAAAUUAGAGUGUUUCAGGCAGGCUUACGCCCGAAUACAUUAGCAUGGAAUAAUGGAAUAGGACUAGACCAUUUUGUUGGUUAUUGGAUUUAGUAAUGAUUAAUAGGGACAAUUGGGGGCAUUAGUAUUUAAUUGUCAGAGGUGAAAUUCUUGGAUUUAUUAAAAACUAACUAAUGCGAAAGCAUUUGCCAAGGAUGUUUUCAUUAAUCAAGAACGAAAGUUAGGGGAUCAAAGACGAUCAGAUACCGUUCUAGUCUUAACUAUAAACUAUGCCGACUAGGGAUUGGCAUGGCCUCUCUAACCAUGUCAGCACCUAAUGAGAAAUCAAAGUCCUUGGGUUCUGGGGGGAGUAUGGUCGCAAGGCUGAAACUUAAAGGAAUUGACGGAAAAACACCACCAGGAGUGGAGCCUGCGGCUUAAUUUGACUCAACACGGGGAAACUUACCAGGUCAAGACAUAGAUAGGAUUGACAGAUUGAGAGCUCUUUCUUGAUUCGUGGGUGGUGGUGCAUGGCCGUUCUUAGUUCGUGGAGUGAUUCGUCUGGUUAAUUCCGUUAACGAACGAGACCUUAACCUGCUUAUUAGCCAGAGGUAAUAUCUACCUCCCGGCUGCUUAGAGGGACUAUGUACGCAAGUGCAUGGAAGUUUGAGGCAAUAACAGGUCUGUGAUGCCCUUAGAUGUCCUGGGCUGCACGCGUUCUACACUGAUGCAAUCAGCAAGUUCAAUCCUAAUCCGGAAGGAUUUGGGUAAUCUUUAUAAAUUGCAUCGUGCUUGGGAUAGAUCUUUGCAAUUAUGGAUCUUGAACGAGGAAUUCCUAGUAGGUGCAAGUCAUCAGCUUGUGCCGAUUACGUCCCUGUUCUUUGUACACACCGCCCGUCGCUCCUACCGAUUUGAGUGAUCCGGUGAACUUCGAGGACCAUGGCCACUAGGCUAUUGGGAACAGUAAGUAAACCUUAUUACUUAGAGGAAGGAGAAGUCGUAACAAGGUAGCCGUA
rnacentral:rRNA from 1 species